rnacentral:lncRNA from 1 species
UCAACGCAAUAUACUUUAUUCGUACAUUAAUUUUCUGAAGUUGACAAGCCUCAAGAAAUACAUGGCUUUGAUUUAAAUAUAUCAUUCUUCAUCAUAAGCAAUUUUCAGUUACUAAUUAAUUAGGAACUGAUAGAGCUUCAGGGAAAUGUUUAUGAGCAUCAAUUGAGAUAUUCCCCAUCUUGCAAUCAACUGAGAUAAUUUUUGGACCAACAAUGUUCCCUUUACCAAUAUUAGCUUUGUUGAUAAUAUGAAGCAGAACAUUCUCAAGCUCCUCUCCAUCUCUCCAACCAUGUACAUGUGCCUUAAUGUCAUUUGAAUUUUUAGAUACUAAAUCACUCAAUGCAAAGUUCAUUCUAGGCAUCAAAUAAUCACUCUCUUUGAGCUUUAGACUAGGGCAAAAGUCUCCACUUCCAUCUCCUAAGUAGAUGAUUUUCUUCUUUCCUUCAUCAUCAAGUGAAUUUUGAAACAUUUCCAUCACCUUUCCCUGUUUGUCAUUCGAGGGGGAGAAAUGUGUCAAUAGAAAGAAAAAAAAAAUUACAAAUAUCUAUAUGAUAAGAUGUGAUUUUAUGUAUAGAUAAAAUGUAUACUUCAACUAUAGUAUAUUUUUAUUUUAUAAAGUUAAAACAAAGUAUAUUAACUCAAUAUAGAAGCUGCUCUAGCUCUACAUAGCAUGAAGUAUGAUUUUGCCUUUUUGUGUAAGCAGAAUUCCUUUGAUUAUGACAUAGAACAUAGACAGUAUGCAAUAUAAUAAUAUAAACAGAGACAAUGCAAAAAAUUUCAAUAUCAUCAAAAUUAAAAUAUUAAAGAAAAAUUGACCAGAUCUUCCUCCAAAGGCAUGCCACGUUCAUUAGUCAUCAACAAUAUAUAGAAACGGUGAGUAAAAUAUAGAUCUAUAAUUCAUAAUAUAAAGCAUAAUUAUCUACAAGGUGAUUUAAAAUAGGUUUUCUUUAAGGAAAGUGAUUUAAUAGAUAAAUAUGAAUAUAAUAGUAUUAUAUGGUCAUAAAUAGAUUUAGAGAUAGUGCAAUUGCCUUGCACAUAUUUGGUGGACAAAGGUUACAUCCAUGAGAAGAUUUUAGAUAAUCAUGGUAGGGACAAAUUAUGAGCCUCCCUUCUCCAUUAACAUAACUUGGGUUUGCAGUGAUCUUUGAGAAACAAUUCAGCACCCCAUGAUGCUUCAAAAUUGUUUCAAUAAAGAAAAUAUUUGCAUCACUCACAAUCCUUAGCUCACACCUGAACACAAAUAUUUCAUCUUAGACAUUAGCAUCUUCAUCAAUGAAACAAAAGCAUAUAUUAUAAAGUGAGUGAAAAUGGAAGAAAAUAUUCUCUUCCAUUUUAUUCACCUUAAUUUCUCUCAUACUAAGUACAUUGUAUAUGCAAUAUAGAAAAAGUGAAAGUUCUUUUCUUAUUCAUUCACAUUUAAGGUGCAUGGAUUUCUCUAGCCGAUACGCUACUUGAUAGAAAAAAUGAAAGUGAGUUAUACCCAAGAGAAUAAGCAGCCUCAAUGGCAGGGAUAAUGCGAGGAUGAAUUGGAGUCCUAUUAAGAACUUCUACAAUUUCUUCCAUUGUUUUUCCUUGUGCAUGAAGUUCAUUCAUUAUUUUGUCCUAUAAAAUUUAAGGACAAAUAAAAAUUAUUUCUUUAACUAGGAAAAAAAUUAAAUGAGAUAGAACAACAUUAUAUUAUAUUAUAUUAGAAGCAUGAAAAUUAAGGAAAGUAAAGAAGACCAUGAGAGGAUUCCAAAGCAUGCUAGGAAGAAGCUGAUAGAAUUUCUCAGUUAAACCAAACUCAUCAAGAACCCAAUUAUCACUAUCACAUUCAAUGAUUGUUGAGUCAAAGUCAAAAAUCACUACAACUCCAGCCAUUAUAAAUGAACAAAAAGCUAAUUUUGAUGAGAUAACUAUAUAACUCUGUGAAGAUGAUCAAGGAC